rnacentral:rRNA from 1 species
GAUGAACGCUGGCGGCGUGCCUAAUACAUGCCAGUCGAGCGAACGGACGAGAAGCUUGCUUCUCUGAUGUUAGCGGCGGACGGGUGAGUAACACGUGGAUAACCUACCUAUAAGACCGGGAUAACUUCGGGAAACCGGAGCUAAUACCGGAUAAUAUUUUGAACCGCAUGGUUCAAAAGUGAAAGACGGUCUUGCUGUCACUUAUAGAUGGAUCCGCGCUGCAUUAGCUAGUUGGUAAGGUAACGGCUUACCAAGGCAACGAUGCAUAGCCGACCUGAGAGGGUGAUCGGCCACACUGGAACUGAGACACGGUCCAGACUCCUACGGGAGGCAGCAGUAGGGAAUCUUCCGCAAUGGGCGAAAGCCUGACGGAGCAACGCCGCGUGAGUGAUGAAGGUCUUCGGAUCGUAAAACUCUGUUAUUAGGGAAGAACAUAUGUGUAAGUAACUGUGCACAUCUUGACGAUACCUAAUCAGAAAGCCACGGCUAACUACGUG